ensembl:lncRNA novel transcript
AGGAAAGGCUGGAGUCACCAUGGUAGGGCUGGGAAGCUCUGGUUCCCAAAGUGGGUUUGUACCCAUCCUCUCAUAGUACCCUUUAGGAUUUUAUUAGGAACAUUUGUCUUUAUAAGAAAACUGAGGCACGAUAAUCUGUCUGGCUAUGGUGAUAGAAGUCUGGGUACUCUUCCUCCAUAUCAAGGUCACUUAUUGGUAUCUCCUCCAGUCCCAGAAGGAGGAGUUGAGGCCGACAUUGGACAAACAAAGCCUUAAUUUAAAAGCAGGGACUGCAACCUGGAACAAGGAGAGACAAAGGGAAGGAGGAGUCUGGAGCCAUAUUGAAGAUGAAAUUGAGAUAUGGACUAGGUGGUGGAUCGUUUUUAUAAGAGGACAUAAAAGAGGAUGCUAAAGCUAAUUGCCACAAUCAGAACUCAAAGACCUAGCAAAUGCAAGGAUACAAUAAGAAGUCAGCAGUCUGCAACCCAGAAGAGGACCCUCACUGGAACCCAGGAAUGUUGGCACUCUGAACUUAGAUUUUCCAGCCUCUAGAAUGGUGAGAAAUAAAUUUCUAUUGUUC